UUUCCGUAGGUGAACCUGCGGAAGGAUCAUUAUUGAAUUCUAAAGGUUGUGCUGGUUCUUACAAGUGCACGCCUUUAUCAAUUUCCAUACACCUGUGCACCUUUGUAGGUUCCGGGGAGCAAUCCCUGGUUCCUAUGUUUUACAUACCCUAUUAAUGUCUUUGAAUGUUUACUUGUCUUUUGACAAAAAAAUCUAUACAACUUUAAGCAACGGAUCUCUUGGCUCUCGCAUCGAUGAAGAACGCAGC
rnacentral:misc_RNA from 1 species